AAUAUUGCGCAAUGGAGGAAACUCUGACGCAGCGACGCCGCGUGAGCGAUGAAGGCCUUCGGGUCGUAAAGCUCUGUCCUCAGGGAAGAAAAUGAUGACGGUACCUGAGGAGGAAGCCCCGGCUAACUACGUGCUAGCAGCCGCGGUAAUACGUAGGGGGCAAGCGUUGUCCGGAAUUAUUGGGCGUAAAGGGUGCGUAGGCGGCUUAUUAAGUCUGAUGUGAAAGACCACGGCUUACCCGUGGGGUUGCAUUGGAAACUGGUGAGCUUGAGUGUCGGAGAGGACAGUGGAAUUCCUAGUGUAGCGGUGAAAUGCGUAGAUAUUAGGAGGAACACCAGUGGCGAAGGCGACUCUCUGGACUGCAACUGACGCUGAGGCACGAAAGCGUGGGGAGCGAACA
rnacentral:rRNA from 1 species